GUUGGCGUCGGGGCGGACGCGUGUGAGCCAGCUUCUAGGCAGUAGUUCAGUAUAGAUGAAGUGAGGGGAGGAGUCUCACGGUGGCCGCGGAUUGCGGCGGCGGAGCAUCCGUGACGAGCUUCGCUGCACUAGGUGUGCAUGGCCGGAGCGGUGCGUGUCCCUGGCGGCCAAGGAGGGGUGCACGGCACAGGCUCCGCAAAGGAGCAGGCAAAGCCCCCCAGGCGACGCAGUGCCGGGGUGGCGCCCGUGAGCACCUGCACCGUUGUGGGCUCUCCGACACCUUCAAACCGCUGGUCGU
rnacentral:SRP_RNA from 1 species